rnacentral:rRNA from 3 species
UACGGGGGGUGCUAGCGUUAUUCGGAAUCAUUGGGCGUAAAGGGCGCGUAGGCGGUCUUUUAAGUCAGAUGUGAAAGCCCUCGGCUUAACCGAGGAAGUGCAUUUGAUACUAAGAGACUUGAGUAUGGGAGAGGGAAGCGGAAUUCCUGGUGUAGCGGUGAAAUGCGUAGAUAUCAGGAGGAACACCGGUGGCGAAGGCGGCUUCCUGGACCAAUACUGACGCUGAGGCGCGAAGGCGUGGGGAGCAAACAGG